GUUCUCCCUCCCAUUUUUAUUGGGCAAACAAAAUAAAACAUUACAAAAAUAUUAUUUUCAGCUAAAGAACAAAAAAUGUAACAUUUCCUAAAACAUCAGCUGAAGCUUUCAUUUUCACCUGAAGAACACCAUUUGCAAGAACUGAAGAACAAGAUCGAAGAACUGAAGAUCACAAUCGAUUUGUAGUACGAUUUCGGUAUAUUUCCGUCAAAUUUCAGCUGAAGAACAUGAUUUUCAGCUGAAGAACUGAACAACAAUAUGAUUUCUCUGAAGAUGAACUGAAGAAGCGAUUUUCCUCUCACAGCUUCCUUUUUGAAGAUUGAAAGAGAUGAAGAACACGGUUUUCUUCAAAGGUUCCUCGGUAAAGAGCUGUUCCAUCAGAUUUCUUGUUCAAAAUUGGAAAAAAAUGCUUCACAAAUCAACUUGCCUCAUGUGUUAAAGCUUAAGGGUUGUUGGAAUAGAGUUCAUCACGUGAGAUAUUUUAUCUUCAAAAGUCUAAAUUCUAGCUUUAAGAUUAUGAUAUUCUUGUGUGUCAAUCAAAAUUUUAAGUUAGGGUUUUUAUGUUGUUGAUACAAAUUUUGUUGAUUUUUGGGAGUUUAGCUUGUAGUUGUAUUACGUACAAAUGGGCUGAUUGUCUUUGACAGUCUAGUUUGUUCUCUAAUGUUGAAUGUACUAGCUGAAGCUAAGUCGCUUUAUAUGAAGAACUGAGCUGACACUUUGUCGUCUUUCUUCGAAGAACUGAAGUGUUGAAGCUGGCGAUACCUAUAAUACUCUGUCCCUAAUACAGAUUUCGUCAAGUAUAUUCUUGUGAGCUGGAGGCCGAAUUAGAGAUUGCUCGAAGAGAAAUUACAGAAGUAUUGAUGGCUCAAUUUGGAAAUGGAGAGAUAGAUGACAUCUAGUGUGGAACUGAUUUCUUCAGUCAACAUUCUAAUAAAUGAUCCAUAAUCGCAUGCCUGUUGAAAACUCUGCAUCCAAUCAUUGUUCCAAUACAAUUAUGUUUGCAGGGUAGUGCAUUACUAGUGUCUUGAAUCAUUCAGAAAAAGGGAGUGUAUAGAAGCCUUCUUAGUUUGCAAUCAUUGUCUUAAUUAAGCUGUAGGACGAGCAUUCUCAGAAAAAACCUGAGGAUCUUACAAUAUCUUUUUCAAGUUUUAGGAGCCAAUUCUUUUAAAGGGGCUCUUUUUAGCACAAACGAGAAAUUAAGCCAUGGAACAAAUAAAAUUUCUUCCAAGCUUGAUGCAGCCUUGUACAGUUCCAUGAAACCAAAUCUUAUUUGAGUAUCCUUGAUGGGCACCAACCAGAGGAAAAUACCGCGGCUUAUAAAUGAAUUUGAAAUGCAUGUGGCCAAAAGUAAAUUCGAUAUAUUGUAGUGAACGAUGAAGAGUUUUUGUACUUUUGUCAUAUAGGUUUGAAUGCAUUUGAUUUUUUGGAAUUUAUUGAUAGUACAGAUCUUUAAGCAAUCACUUUCCAAGAAUUGGUUGUACAAGACAUGUUUAUCGAAAUUUAUUUGAAACAUUUAACUUCUAUUUAGUUAUUA